rnacentral:rRNA from 1 species
GAUGAACGCUGGCGGCGUGCCUAAUACAUGCAAGUCGAACGCUGAAGGAGGAGCUUGCUCUUCUGGAUGAGUUGCGAACGGGUGAGUAACGCGUAGGUAACCUGCCUGGUAGCGGGGGAUAACUAUUGGAAACGAUAGCUAAUACCGCAUGACAACAGUUAUUGCAUGAUAACUGUUUAAAAGGGGCAACUGCUCCACUACCAGAUGGACCUGCGUUGUAUUAGCUAGUUGGUGAGGUAACGGCUCACCAAGGCGACGAUACAUAGCCGACCUGAGAGGGUGAUCGGCCACACUGGGACUGAGACACGGCCCAGACUCCUACGGGAGGCAGCAGUAGGGAAUCUUCGGCAAUGGACGGAAGUCUGACCGAGCAACGCCGCGGGAGUGAAGAAGGUUUUCGGAUCGUAAAGCUCGGUUGUAAGAGAAGAACGAGUGUGAGAGUGGAAAGUUCACACUGUGACGGUAUCUGACCAGAAAGGGACGGCUAACUACGUG